AGUGAACGCUGGCGGUAGGCCUAACACAUGCAAGUCGAACGGCAGCACAGUAAGAGCUUGCUCUUACGGGUGGCGAGUGGCGGACGGGUGAGGAAUACAUCGGAAUCUACUUUUUCGUGGGGGAUAACGUAGGGAAACUUACGCUAAUACCGCAUACGACCUACGGGUGAAAGCAGGGGAUCUUCGGACCUUGCGCGAUUGAAAGAGCCGAUGUCGGAUUAGCUAGUUGGCGGGGUAAAGGCCCACCAAGGCGACGAUCCGUAGCUGGUCUGAGAGGAUGAUCCGCCACACUGGAACUGAGACACGGUCCAGACUCCUACGGGAGGCAGCAGUGGGGAAUAUUGGACAAUGGGCGCAAGCCUGAUCCAGCCAUACCGCGUGGGUGAAGAAGGCCUUCGGGUUGUAAAGCCCUUUUGUUGGGAAAGAAAAGCAGCAGGUUAAUCCCCCGCUGUUCUGACGGUACCCAAAGAAUAAGCACCGGCUAACUUCGUG
rnacentral:rRNA from 1 species